UGAAGGCCCUCUGGGUUGUAAACUUCUUUUAUCUGGGACGAAAAAAGGGCUUUCCAGCUCACUUGACGGUACCAGAGGAAUAAGCACCGGCUAACUCCGUGC
rnacentral:rRNA from 1 species